UUCCGGCGAUUCUUUGUGUGUGUGUGUUAGUGCUCUUGGACAGACCAUUGGAUAUCUGGAGGUGGACCUGGACUCCAGGAUGCAGUGCGUCGAGAUCCUGUCCAGGUAAAAUUGGAUGCUAUGGUCACUCGAAAAGCCAUUUGACCGGAAGUUCCAGCGAAUGAUUGUGUGUGUUGGUGCUUUUGGACAGAUCUCUGUACAUGUAUGGAGUUUUUGCAAAAACUACUGGAUAUAUAUACAUGGAGAAGUCACCAUUCAAGACUCCAGAGCGUCAUCGAAAACUUCUUCAGGUUUUUACAAUAUUUGACAAAUCUGCAAUCAAAACUAAAAAAGAGCCAAACAAUGACGGGACAUCUGGGAAUUAAGCAAACAUUUUGAAGACCACCCGGCCACAAUGGCCGGGAAUCCGGCAAUAGUACAAAUUUAUUUCUCUAUAUAAAUUGCAAUUUGUUGUUGGCUGCCCGAUAUGCCGAUGCUAAUCUGAGGAGGGGCGACUCCAGGGGGGAGUUGGUCCCUCUUGCUAUCUGAAGUGCCGCCGUCGCUUUCAAUUCGCCUCGACGAUCCUCGAUUGGCGCCAGCAACAUGGUCAACAUGCAACAUGCAACAUCCACAGCGGCAACAGUAGCCGGCAACAUUGGCAUUGAGUUUGAGUACAAUUAAUUGAACACCAACAACAAAUCGAUUGCGCGAACAACAACAAAGUGAACAGCAGCAACAGCAACAGCAACAGCAGCAGCAACAACGACAAUAACAACAUGACACAUUGUGUUGUUCACAUGCCGCCGCUGCAGGGCAGCAAAACCAGAUGAAGACGACAAAAAGGAGCAGCGGCGGCAGCAGCAGCAGCAACAACCUGCCGGCAACAUGUUGCCGGUGUACAAAAAUGUAGCCUUUUGUUAUUUGCCGACGUCUGCCAAGUGAAUUAGUCCCCCCUUUCCCGGCGCCCCUGCACUGGGAAAACUAGGGAUGCAUAUCGGUUGCAAGAAGCAAAGGCGAUCGGAAGUAUCGGAGCAACACAUAUCAAAAACAUGGCAUUUAUCGACGAUAUUUUCGAUAUAUGUAUGUCUUUUUCUUAUUUACAAGAUAAUUAUGAAUAUUUAUUUUUUAACUACAGCUUUAAAUACGUAUAUCGGAAAUAUAGUUAGAUAAUACUGAUCAAUAAUAUGAAAACUCACACUAAAACGUUAAU